rnacentral:rRNA from 1 species
AUGGCAACGUAUGAUGACUUGAGUGACUUUUGCCACCAUAUUGAGAGUGAGAGUGACUUCACCACUAGCCCCAUAUAUGAUGAGCUGCCCCAAUUCCCAUGUGAGGAGAGCCACCACCACCACCACUUGAGUGAUUUGAGUGACUCCACCAUAUGCGACAUUGAGUGCACCUACCUUGAGGGAGUGAGUGAGCCACCGCCACAUAGAGAGAGUGAGGUAGUUGAUGAGGCAUAUGCGGCCAUUUUGCUUUCUAACAACUUAACCUCUACCUCUAUUGUGUCUUCUCCUUUGGUGCUAGGUCCCAUAUAUGAUGACGCACCGAUCCUCGACGACUCCGUCCUUCCUUUGGACAUGACGAUGGCCAUGGUGGACUAUGAUGCACCCCCCACAUGGUUCCAUCCCGAUGACGACGAUGACCACCAUUUGGUCUUUCCCACCUCACCUACACCACUUGAGUGGAACAACAACAGUAACAUAGGUGAAGGUGAUGCUCUUGUCCCACUAGUGGACGUUCUUGAUAUUGAUUGCUUGCAUGAUGUUCAUCCACCUAUUAUCAUGCUUCAUGCUAGUAUGAUUUCCCCAUGCGAUGAUUUCCCCAUUUAUGACGAGUUUGAUGAUUGUCAUGAGGAGUCUAGUAGUUGUGAUGCCAUGUUACAUAGGAUUUCUUGUGAUAAUUCUCUUGGUCACAUCAUGUUUGACAAUCCGCUUGCCUUGUCAUAUGCUAUGCAUGAGAUCAAUGAUAUGUCUUAUUCGCAAUCUCAUCGUAGUGACUAUGCAUAUGCCAUUAAAAUAAACUCGAUUUGCACAUAUGGCAUAGAUGACAAGCCCAUGGUUAUUGGCAUUUUUUUGUGA